rnacentral:misc_RNA from 1 species
AAAAGUCCAUGGCGAAGCUCAAAAGCGGGAAUACAAACAUGGAGAAAUGUCAACAAUACGAAAUGGAAAGUCACCUGUAUUGAAUUAAAUUGAAGUGGCAGUAUUUACGAUCAAAUUAUGGGGUUAUCAAAUAUGCAAGACGAUUUGGAAUCCAGGUUUGCUAAUUUACUGCAGCCUAUCCGAGACCUGACUAAGAACUGGGAUGUAGACAUAGCAUCAUCUCUAGAGGACUAUCUAGAAGAACUUGACAAGAUAGUGGUAACAUUCGAUGGAGGGAUAACCACCAUGAAUUUUGCUGAAGCUGCCAUGCUAAUUCAAGGCUCUGUUUGUGUUUUUGGCAAAAAGGUGGAAUAUCUAUAUUCUUUGGUUUAUCAAGUUUUGGACUUGCUGGCAAGUAAAAAAAAACAGAACAAACAGUCCUCGGUUAAUAACAAUGGAGAUGAUGAGGAUGCAGCUGAUUUUGACAGAAAUGAAGAUGAAGAGUUCCUGAGCCUAGAUGAUAUCCAACAGCACAAGAAAAUUGUCCUGAAGGAAGAUGAAUAUGGAAACAAGAAUGUGAUGCCUGUUCCUUUGAUGCCUCUCUCCCUGACUCCUUUAGAGGAAGGAGAAAAGGGAGAUGACCCUUUGUUAAGUAAGAAGGGAGAGGUUUUGGCCAGCAGGAAUGACUUUAAUAUGAACACCUGUUCUGUCCAUGAGACUGGCACGCUUCUACUGGACAUGUCUUUCAUGGCACUUCUGCAAAAGGCUCUGGCAGACUGUGUAUCUAUACAAGGUGCAUCCUUGGACACCAUACAGGAAGAGAGUGCUGACCAGUGUACACAGGGAAUGAUGGGAAGAGACAAUGUAGAGGAUGUGGAAGCCGAGACCUGCCAACCACAAGAUGUCUCAAUGGGAGAGCAUGCUGAUGAUGUAGAACCCCUGGACCCUGUCCCCAUGGAGGAUGAGGUGGAUGGAAACUUCCCUCCCAACAACAGAGAAAGUUUAGAUACUCAAAUUCUGCGAAGAUCUGAGAGAAAAAAAGUACAAAUUGUACCUCCUAAACCUAUCAUUGAUCACUGGAAAAUGAUUGACCCUCAUGAACCAGGUCAUACUGCUGAGAGGAAUAUCAAAAGAGGGAAGACAUUCAAGAUCCCAGAAAAUGUUGAUGAUAGACUUUCAAACAAGAGAAAAAGGAAAAGGCAGCCAGAGAUCAAGAAAUUAUGUCCCCUGACCCAGUUUGUUUGUCAAACAUUCACAAAUGUGGAAAAAUACCCAAAGAAUCCUCUGAAAGUGGUUUCAUUUCCAGAGCUGGACAAACCAUUUUGGACCGAAUACAAAAGAAGACAGGCCCUAUCAAGGAAAGAGAGCAAAGUGAAGAUGGCUUAUGUGGAGGAGGAAUUCACAGAGGAACAAGAGGAGCAAGAAGAUUUCCAUGAAGAUAGUGGCAAUGAUGCGGCCGAUAUCUUGUUGCCGCAGAUGAAUGAGGAUCGGCUGUUUGACGCCAUUAAUUCUGCAGUGGAUGAUGCCCCAUUCUCUGCAAUGACAGGGUCCUCGGAACAUAAUGGUUUCAGUGCCUCGUUUAAUAAGGGUAUUAUAAUUAAUGACUAUGAAGACCUUGUCAAACAACAUGUGGAGCAGUACAUGGCCAGUGCCCAGGAGUAUGUCAAGAUGACAGAGUUGUCUCGGAGGGUGUCUGAGUGGGAGGAGAGGGUCCUCCCCAAACUAGAGGAGGAGGACACCCAUGAUCCGUUUGAUAUAAACAAAUAUGGAAGUCUGCUGAUUGGAUCCUUAAAGAAGGAGUCCAACACUGCAUUCAAGGAGGUGGUCAAAGCCAAGAAGACCUACGAAAUCUCCAGGAUAUUUCUAGCUUCCCUCAUGCUGGUAAGUAUGGCUUCUCUUGAUUGCCAAACUGUGUUGGUGUAGAUGAAAUUACCACAGUAACUUCUUUUUCCUGAGAUCAGGAGCCAUUGACAUUGAAGAUGACAUCGGGAUGUAACCACUACAUGUACAUUUAUAUUCAUUAAGCAUUAUAGUACAUUUAUAUUCAUUAAACGUUAUAGUACAUUUAUAUUCAUUAAGCAUUAUCAUUAAGCAUUAUAGUAUCAUUUUUUUUCUGGACUUUGUCUUGCAAUUGGAUAUCACAAUUCCUCUUUUUGGGGAAGUCAACACAACAAAAGUAAUGUCCAGUCUUUGAAAAAGUACUGAUGAAGGCAGUCCAUGAAGAAAAUAAUUCCUAAGAAUUUUUGAAUUGUAGUCAGUGAUGAUAAAACUGAAUAUGACUCAGAAAAGGAGAGGAUUAUCCUUGUUCACCAUAUUUUUUAUCGUUUACAUCUAACAUGUAUUCUUCAGCACCAAUUCUAUGUUUGCCUCUGACUUAUUUAUGAUUUAAAGUAUUUUGCUGUACAGAUUCCUGAUAUAAUAGGGCUGGGACGAUACAUACUUCGCUGAUUCGGUACUUAUCAAGAAUGCGAUGUGAAACAUAAUAUGAUACAUUGCAACUAAAAGAAAACAUGAAAAAGGGUUUAGAAUUUAUUGAUUUUGUCAAUGUAUUACUGCAUGUCCAGAGUAACAGGUUUUCAAUUCGGUGCAACUGAUGGCAAAAGGUAAGGAAAUCAGACAUGCAAAAGUCUAUGUGGGAUAUGGCUUUUUUUUCUUUUACUUUUAUAAAUAUGUAUGGUUAAUGAAUCACCUUAAAUGAGAAUUACAAUAAAGUUGUUUAUGUUUUGACAGGCCAACACAGGAAAUGUGGAAAUUGUUAGCAAAGGUGAUUUAGAGGUCGGUAUGGACAGGUUUGAAUUACACUUGCUGUCCACAAAAAGACACUUUGAACAUUUGGAGGAAUAUCAAGCCCCAUCCAUAGCUGACAAAGGAUAAUGGGAUCAAGGAGUUGUGUUUUAGUCAGGAAAAAUACUGUGUUUUCUGCCUGACAGAAUUUUAAAAGGAAACUUUCAGCAAUUUCUGUGAUCAUCUUUAUACCCAUUUUUACCUGUUUGAAAAAAAAUAAUCAAAAAACUUUCUUUGACGAUUGAUAAAAUUGAUUGAUAAUUCACUUAAUACAAUCUUUUUAUUGUAAAUUUACUGCUUUUCUUACUACACAUUGACAAAGAUGAAUAUAUGCUACUGUAGAUUUCUUAUUUUUGUCGAGUACUUUAUUUCGCAAUUCGACUGUAUUGCAUCAAAUCAAGAGCAUAUGAAAUCGCAAACACCAGAUUUGUUUCAUAGUUUUAUUAGUUUUACGUCUGUCAGAAAAAUAAAAGUGAGAUUUUAUAAUCAAAGAGAUGUUCCUCUCGCGAUUUUACGCUGAUAUUGAUUCAUCAUGUUUACCGGUAAUUUGGAGUUUACAGCAUAGUGAAUAGUCAAUGAAAGAUUGUAAUUUUUUCUUUUACUAUGAUUUCAAAUGUGCAUGUUAUUUUUGGGUUAUUGUCUGAGAAAAGAUCACUAAAUGUGUUUGUAUAUGAUUGAAAGAAAUAUAAAGUCAUACUUAGUC